GGCUGCUAUAUAUAUUUCUGGUGCAAUCUGACAUUUCCAUUGGAAAGUUUGACAUUUUUUAGCAUAACAUCACUCAGAACGUUUUGUCAUUUAAUCGUGAAUUGUUUUAUUUACAGGGAAUUAAAAAAUUCAUCUCGGCCAAAAAUGGAAUUAACUCGUGAACAUUUUCGUGCGAUCAUUUUUCACAACUUUCGACGUGGAUUAUCACGACAAGAGUGCAUCGAUGAACUAAAAUCUUUGUAUGGCUAUGAAGCACCAUCCUAUAGCACUAUGAAAAACUGGUACAACGAAUUCAAUCGUGGCCGACGCUCGCUCAAAGACGAAUUCCGUGAAGGUCGUCCAAAAACAGCCGUUGUGCCAGAAAACAUCGACGUGAACUGAUAAUGCAAGACCGUCAUGUAACAUACCUUCAGAUAGAGGCAUGCCUAUGCAUUUCUUCCACCAGCAUACAUUCGAUAUUGCAUGAACACCUGGCCGUAAAAAAGGUUUGUUCUCGUUGGAUCCCGCACAAUUUGACAAUCGCUCAAAAAAAGGCUCGUGUGGAUUGGUGUAAAGAAAUGCUGAAAAAAUACGAUCGCGGUGCUUCAAAAGACGUUUAUAAGAUCGUCACAGGUGACGAAUAAUGGAUCUAUGCGUAUGAGCCCGAAACAAAACAGCAAUCGACCGUGUGGGUCUUCCAAGACGAGCCAAAUCCAACGAGAAAAAAAAAUAUGCCUAUUUUCAUUAUUAGGCCAGAAAUAUAUAUAGCAGCCCUCGUACUUGUAGACUCGUAUUGAAAGACCUCAAUCUGUUACAAAAAUGACGUCGAGUUGAGGUCGGAAAAGAAAUGCUUGACAACAUAGCUGAGGACUCCACAUUUAACAAACACGUUAUUAUUACGUAGGUUUACGAAAAUAAUGUUGAACAAUCUAGCGAAUGAAGCUCAAAAAUUGUGCCGAAAUCGAAAAAAGUAGUUAAAAGUACUUAGAGAUCAAAAAUCAAGGUGAUGCUCAACGUUUACUUUGUUAUCGUGGUGUAGUUGAUAAUACAUUUUUGUAUAAAAAUACAUGAAAAUGUUAUUGUUUUUUUUUUUGUUAGUGCAAUAAAUCAAAACUAAUGACCUUUUCUUCUUUUCAUUGGGAGUGUUUUUUACGGGACGGGUCCCAAACCCAUCGCACAACCCUGGUAGGGAUAUUUCGCCUUCUCACUUUAGUUCGCCCUCAAACUUAUAUUUUUGGCUGCCAGGAGGUUACUUGGUCUAAAACCGAAAGUCGCGAACCGCUUGAGCCUUAAGUAAAAGAACGUUUCUGACCACUUCCAAGUGAAUGACGCUCGGAGAACUUUCAAACUCUACACAUGAUCCAUCCUCCCUGCUAUAUGGUGUAAAGACCUGGACGAUGACAACAUCCGAUGAGUCGGCGUUACGAGUUUUCGAGAGAAAAGUUCUGUCAUUCGAAUGGAUGAAAACACUUCAUCUCUGGGAGUACUCGACGUGGCUACACUCGGAAUCUCCAAUUGGCGCGAAACAGCGAAAAAGAAAAAACGACUGGCUAUUUGAAUGCUUAUUCAUUCACCUUUUCGUUGAAUUGUUUUAUUUUUUCCGAAAGUUAUCUGAGUAAAUCAUACUGCUGUGGUUAAAAAAUA